GAUGAACGCUGGCGGUGUGCCUAAUACAUGCAAGUCGAGCGAACGGACGAGAAGCUUGCUUCUCAGAUGUUAGCGGCGGACGGGUGAGUAACAUGUUGAUAACCUACCUAUAAGACUGGGUUAACUUCGGGAAACCGUAGCUAAUACCGGAUAAUAUUUUGAACCGCAUGGUUCAAAAGUGAAAGACGAUCUUGCUGUCACUUAUAGAUUGAUCCGCGCUGCAUUAGGUAGUUGGUGAGGUAAGGGCUUACCGAGGCAACGAAUCAUAGCUGACCUGAGAUGGUGAUCAGCCGCACUGGAACUGAGACAAGGUCCAUGCGCAUACGGGAGGCGGCAGUAGGGAAUCGUGCGCAAGGGGCGAAGGCCUGACGGAGCAACGCGACGUGAGUGAUGAGGGUCUUCGGAUCGUUAAACUCUGUUAUUAGGGAAUGAAAUAUGUGUAAGUCACUGUGGAGAUCAUGACGGUACCUAAUCAGAAAGCCACGGCUAACUACGUG
rnacentral:rRNA from 1 species